CAGGAAUCUUGCGCAAUGGACGAAAGUCUGACGCAGCGACGCCGCGUGAGGGACGAAGGCCUUCGGGUUGUAAACCUCUUUUAGUGGGAAAAAAUAAAUUGAUGGUACCCACUGAAUAAGCACCGGCUAACUCCGUGCCAGCAGCCGCGGUAAUACGGAGGGUGCGAGCGUUAUUCGGAGUUACUGGGCGUAAAGGGCGCGUAGGCGGCUCGUUAAGUCUGAUGUGAAAUCCCUGGACUCAAUUCAGGAAGUGCAUUGGAUACUGGCGAGCUAGAGUAUAGGAGGGGAGAGCGGAAUUCCUGGUGUAGAGGUGAAAUUCGUAGAUAUCAGGAGGAACAACAGUGGCGAAGGCGGCUCUCUAGACUAUAACUGACGCUGAGGCGCGAAAGCGUGGGUAGCAAAC
rnacentral:rRNA from 1 species